UGUUUACAACGUUUCGGAGUGUUACUCCAUCUUCAGGUAAUAAAGUUUAACGGCAAUCUUUAUUACCUGAAGAUGGAGUAACACUCCGAAACGUUGUAAACA
rnacentral:miRNA from 1 species